GAUGAACGCUGGCGGCGUGCCUAAUACAUGCAAGUCGAGCGAACGGACGAGAAGCUUGCUUCUCUGAUGUUAGCGGCGGACGGGUGAGUAACACGUGGAUAACAUACCUAUAAGACUGGGAUAACUUCGGGAAACCGGAGCUAAUACUGGAUAAUAUUUUGUACCGGAUGGUUCAAAAGUGAUAGACGGUCUUGCUGUCACUUAUAGAUGGUUUCGCGUUGCAUUGGCGAGUUGGUAAGGUAACGGCUUACCAAGGCAACGAUGCAUAGCCGACCUGAGAGGAUGAUCAGCCACACUGGAACUGAGACACGGUCCAGACUCCUACGGGAGGCAGCAGUAGGGAAUCUUCCACAAUGGGCGAAAGCCUGACCCAGCAACGCCGCGUGAGUGAAGAAGGCCUUCGGAUCGUAAAACCCUGUUAUUAGGAAAGAACAUAUGCAGAAUAAACUGUGGCCAUCUUGACGGUACCUAAUCAAAAAGCACCGGCUAACUACGUG
rnacentral:rRNA from 1 species